CUGGACCCGCUUCGGCCUCGGGGGACGGGAGGGAUACGAGGACCCGACUCGGGCCCCUGGGGUCCCCGUUCCUCUUUCUCCGCCUGGGGCACUGCUUCCCCCGAGUUUUCCAAAUAUACGAGGAGCGGGUCCCGAAUCCUCGGCCCCGUAGCUCGCUCUGAAGAGGAGCAACACAUCCCUUAUUUCCGUUUUCCACUCCUCCACGCCCACCGCGUCCCACACGCCAGCACCUGUAUCGGUCCUGUGGGACCAGGUGUGUGGAGGUUCUUGGUUCAUCCUCACCUCCUUCCCCAGGCUCUGCACACCAAACGGAGUGGAGUUAGGCAGGCAGAGGUUCCUCGUCACCAACCCCAAACUGCCUUGGCUGUUGUUCCUUCCCCCAGAAAGCAAGCACAAAUGCCGGUAAUGCUGAGAGCCACACCUAACAAGAGAGCGAUUGCAUCUCCAGCUUCUCCUGCUUCAACAACAGGCAGAAUCAGAAGUAGUGAAAUGACCACCAAGAACAACUGUGUUGAAACUGAGGUCAUGAUGUUGGGAUGCAGAAGACUGAAGGUUCCAAAGAAAUAAUGUAUGUAAAAUUCUAUCUGACUUGAAAUUCUCCUUUUGGAUCUCCGGACGCUGUGGCUAAGAAGUUACACGUGACACGGCCUUUUGGGAAGCAGCCAUUAUAGGAAAGGCGAUGAGGGCGGUGUCUCCAGCCUCAUUUGUUAUUAAGAGAGACAUUCUUUAUGGCUGAGUAGUACUCCAUUUUAUUACACACACACACACACACACACACACACACACACACACACCCUUCUUUAACCAGUCUCCACUUCUCCAGAUGAUAGGCAAUUGGGCGUUUCCAAAUUUUAGCUAUUACAAACUGUGCCACUAUAAACAUGAGUGAGCAUAUGUUGCUGUGAUAUUAUUCUUUUAAUUCUUUUGGGAAGAUACCCAGUAGAGGAAUAGCUGGGUCAAAUGGGUCUUCUAAUCCUAGUUGUUCGAGGUAUCUCUAUAUUGACUUCCACAGUGGUUGCACCAGUCUGCACUACCACCAACAAUGGAGAAGGGUUCCUAUCUCCCCACAACCCUUCUGGCAUUUAUUAUUGGUUGAUUUCUUGAUAGCAGCCAUUCUUUCUUGGGUCAGAUGGAAUCUCAGUGUUGUUUUCAUCUGCAUCUCUCAAAUGACCAGUGAUAUUGAACAUUUUCAUAUGUUUAUUUGCUGCUUUUACUUCUUUGUCUGAGAAAUGUCUGUUCAUUUCAGAUGUCCAUUUUUGACUUGUGUCUUUAUGUUUGAAUGUGACAGUGGGUUUUGAGGUCCCCCAUUACAACUGUAUCAGUGCUUAUAUGAUUUUUCAUGUCCAUCAAUAUAAUCCAUAUUAUAUAGUUGGAUGUGCUGCUAUUUGGUACAUAUAUAUUUGAUUGUUAUCUCCUGUUGGAUUGUUCCCUUUACCAGGAUGUAGUGACCGUCUUUGUGUCUCUUAAUCAUUCUUGGCUUAAAAUCCACUUUGUUUGUAAAUAGAAUCACUACCCCUGC
rnacentral:lncRNA from 1 species